rnacentral:lncRNA from 1 species
UCUGAAGAGCUAAAGACUUCCUGAAAUUUAAAAAUUAGUGCUUUUAUUUGCUUGUCCUGCUAAGACCGUAGGCAAAGGCCAUCCUCCUCCCAUUGACAGUUUAGAGUGGGCAGAAACAACCACGGUUACCCUAGAAGUAAAUCCAGAGCUGCGGGACGCUGGAGGACAAAACCAACCUUCCAGGGAAGCCGAGGAGAAGUCAUGCCUUCAAAAGAUGAAGAAACUGACAUCUGGAGAAGUUGAAGUAAUUUGCACAAAGAUUCACUUGGCUAGGCUCAAGCACAGUCAAAUCAUCAUUAAUUAAAAUGUGC